CCCUAUGGGGUGCAGCAGGCUUGAGGUCACGGAGGUAUGCAAGGGUCCCGUCGAGCUGAGUCCCGGGCUUCCGGAGAUGGAGCCCCCCCACGAUAUCGUGCACGCGGGACUCCCCGCAGACCUUCUUGGCGUACUCCACGGUGUUGCAGAUCCCGGCAUGGGCGCAUCCCGUGAUCACCACAAGGCCGUUUUGGCCCCGGAACGCAAGGGACGUAUCGUCCAGAAUCCGGUCCUUGUGCAUACUCCCGUCCGGCAUCACGAUCCGCCGGGGCCCGAAAUCGGCCGCCGCAAAGAGGAA
rnacentral:rRNA from 1 species